CCUACGGGAGACAGCAGUGAGGAAUAUUGGUCAAUGGGCGCGAGCCUGAACCAACCAAGUAGCGUGAAGGAUGACUGCCCUAUGGGUUGUAAACUUCUUUUAUCAAGGAAUAAAGUGAGCCACGUGUGCCUUUUUGUAUGUACCUUAUGAAUAAGGAUCGGCUAACUCCGUGCCAGCAGCCGCGGUAAUACGGAGGAUCCGAGCGUUAUCCGGAUUUAUUGGGUUUAAAGGGAGCGUAGGUGGGUUGUUAAGUCAGUUGUGAAAGUUUGCGGCUCAACCGUGAAAGUGCAAUUGAUACUGGCAGUCUUGAGUACGGUAGAAGUAUGCGGAAUGCGUGGUGUAGCGGUGAAAUGCAUAGAUAUCACGAAGAACUCCGAUUGCGAAGGCAGCAUAC
rnacentral:rRNA from 1 species